rnacentral:rRNA from 1 species
UGGCGGACGGGUGAGUAAUGUCUGGGAAACUGCCCGAUGGAGGGGGAUAACUACUGGAAACGGUAGCUAAUACCGCAUAACGUCGCGAGACCAAAGAGGGGGACCUUCGGGCCUCUUGCCAUCGGAUGUGCCCAGAUGGGAUUAACUAGUAGGUGGGGUAACGGCUCACCUAGGCGACGAUCCCUAGCUGGUCUGAGAGGAUGACCAGCCACACUGGAACUGAGACACGGUCCAG